rnacentral:rRNA from 1 species
UACAGAGGUCUCAAGCGUUGUUCGGAUUCAUUGGGCGUAAAGGGUGCGUAGGCGGCCACCGCAAGUCGGUUGUGAAAUCUCUGGGCUUAACCCAGAAAGGUCAACCGAUACUGCGGGGCUAGAGUGCAGAAGGGGCAACUGGAAUUCUCGGUGUAGCGGUGAAAUGCGUAGAUAUCGAGAGGAACACCUGCGGCGAAGGCGGGUUGCUGGGCUGACACUGACGCUGAAGCGCGAAAGCUAGGGGAGCGAACGGG